UCUAGCGAACCUGUUUUGCGAAAGUUUAUACGUUUGAUGGGUUAUCUGCUACCGUGAUGAAACUUUUAAAUUAUUGUUAUUCGAGAUUAUGGUAUUUCAAAUCUGUUACUGUAAGCUUCUUGGACUUUACGUUUCGGUUUCUUAGAGUAAUUAAUUUGUUCGGUUAACGAUUUUUUCUCGUUACAGACUUACAGUAAGAUAUUGUAAAGUUGAUUCUGGAUUAUUGUGAUUGAUAAAGGAUAAGAACUAACUUAAUAACUGAAGUACUGUAUGUAAAAAGCUCGCUUUCUCGUACGAAAAUAGAUUUGCUAGCGCUACAUGCUCUGGUACAAAGUUGAUUGCCUGCAAAAACUGUGUUAUACGUACGCUGGUCAAUAGAAAAGUAUGGUAGUAGCUUGUUCUCAGCCCUCAGGUACUUAAUUCUACCAAAAAAGCAUGAUUUGAAUAUUAUUCUACAAAUUAUAGGCCGCUUUUCAAAUGUCCAAAAUUAUUAUUUAAGUUACCGUUGAUCUAACAUCCUGAUCUGAAAUUAGCUGUUGAUAAUCGUUUAUGAAAAUUUGCUCCAAUACUAGACGUCAGGCCAUGAUUCGUGACAUGUUGCGUGCCGCAAUGGCGACGGCAGCCCGUGGACUACUACGAUAGUGUAAACUGAUGUUGAAAUGAGUUGAUGUUGAAACUGAUGUGAAAAGUACAUGAUGUCUGACUCAGUACAUGAAAUGAUAGAAAGUCUUUUGGAGCUCCGAUUGUGGCUUUCGCACCCAGGUCCUUACCGGACUGCAAAUAAAAAAAGAAAGGGGA